GCAUAAAUCACAUAUUCAUACACAAAUAUAACCCUGUGGGCCAAGCCUGAGGUUACCUCAUAUAUUCAGUAUUCAACCCGAGGCAUAGAGUAAUAGGAACAGAGGCAUACCUGAUGAGAGACCUGUUAAAAUUGGAAGGCAAGGCCGGAUUGGCGAAGUAACGUUUAGGGUUUGCGCGAGGCGGAAUGAACUUCUCAGGGCUGCCCGAAGGUUGCUGCAGAGUAGUUCCUAGGUUUGAAACUCCACGUGAACUCCAAGUCUAUUUCUCAGGGAAUUUCCAAGUGUCUGAAACCCUACUGAAACUCUUAUAUUUAUAGCUGAUUUUCGUGGACUUGUGGGCUUGGAAUGAGGGAGACCCAAAAUUUGUUAUAUUUUAAUUAUUUAUUUAUUUUUUCUUUUUUUCUUUUUUUUUUUGGAAAAACUGAAGGGUAAAUUUUGGGGUAUUACAA
rnacentral:lncRNA from 1 species